CCUACGGGAGGCAGCAGUGAGGAAUAUUGGUCAAUGGACGAGAGUCUGAACCAGCCAAGUAGCGUGAAGGAUGACUGCCCUAUGGGUUGUAAACUUCUUUUAUAUGGGAAUAAAACAGGGUAUGCAUACCCUCUUGUAUGUACCAUAUGAAUAAGGAUCGGCUAACUCCGUGCCAGCAGCAGCGGUAAUACGGAGGAUCCGAGCGUUAUCCGGAUUUAUUGGGUUUAAAGGGAACGUAGGUGGAUUGUUAAGUCAGUUGUGAAAGUUUGCGGCUCAACCGUAAAAUUGCAGUUGAAACUGGCAGUCGUGAGUACAGUAGAGGUGGGCGGAAUUCGUGGUGUAGCGGUGAAAUGCUUAGAUAUCACGAAGAACUCCGAUUGCGAAGGCAGCUCACUGGACUGCAACUGACACUGAUGCUCGAAAGUGUGGGUAUCAAACAGGAUUAGAUACCCCAGUAGUC
rnacentral:rRNA from 1 species